UACAGAGGGGGCUAGCGUUAUUCGGAAUUAUUGGGCGUAAAGGGCGCGUAGGCGGCCAUGCGUGUCUUCCGUGAAAUCCCUCGGCUUAACUGAGGACGUGCGGAAGAAACUGCAAGGCUCGAGUCCGGGAGAGGGGGGUGGAAUUCCCAGUGUAGCGGUGAAAUGCGUAGAUAUUGGGAGGAACACCGGUGGCGAAGGCGGGUCUCUGGGCCGAUACUGACGCUGAGGAGCGAAAGCGUGGGGAGCGAACAGG
rnacentral:rRNA from 1 species